AUACCUUUCUCGGCCUUUUGGCUAAGAUCAAGUGUAGUAUCUGUUCUUAUCAGUUUAAUAUCUGAUAUGUGAGUCAUCGACUCACACGAUAUUAAAUUUAUUUUUUGAGGGGGAAAGUCCAUCAAGGUAGCUUGCUACUUGGGUUUUCAUGUGUCGCCUUUGCGUUGCACUAUUGCAUUGGCCAGGCACACCCCAC